AAACGUCUCAGUUCGGACUGUGGUCUGCAACUACGACCACACGAAGCUGGAAUCGCUAGUAAUCGCGAAUCAGCAUGUCGCGGUGAAUACGUUCCCGGGUCUUGUACACACCGCCCGUCACACCAUGGGAGUCAGCAACGCCCGAAGUCAGUGACCUAACCGAGAGGAAGGAGCUGCCGAAGGCGGGGCAGGUAACUGGGGUGAAGUCGUAACAAGGUAUC
rnacentral:rRNA from 1 species